AUUGAACGCUGGCGGCAUGCUUUACACAUGCAAGUCGAACGGUAACAGGCCUUCGGGUGCUGACGAGUGGCGAACGGGUGAGUAAUGCAUCGGAACGUACCCAGAGGUGGGGGAUAACGCAGCGAAAGCUGUGCUAAUACCGCAUGUGAUCUGAGGAUGAAGGCGGGGGACCGAGCAGCAAUGUUUGGCCUCGCGCCUUUGGAGCGGCCGAUGUCGGAUUAGCUAGUUGGUGGGGUAAAGGCCUACCAAGGCGACGAUCCGUAGCUGGUCUGAGAGGACGACCAGCCACACUGGGACUGAGACACGGCCCAGACUCCUACGGGAGGCAGCAGUGGGGAAUUUUGGACAAUGGGCGCAAGCCUGAUCCAGCAAUGCCGCGUGCGGGAAGAAGGCCUUCGGGUUGUAAACCGCUUUUGGCAGGAACGAAACGGUGUCCGCUAAUACCGGGCGCUAAUGACGGUACCUGCAGAAUAAGCACCGGCUAACUACGU
rnacentral:rRNA from 1 species